rnacentral:rRNA from 1 species
UACGUAGGGUGCGAGCGUUGUCCGGAAUUAUUGGGCGUAAAGGGCUCGUAGGCGGUCUGUUGCGUCGGGAGUGAAAACUCAGGGCUUAACCCUGAGCCUGCUUCCGAUACGGGCAGACUAGAGGUAUGCAGGGGAGAACGGAAUUCCGUGGUGUAGCGGUGAAAUGCGCAGAUAUCAGGAGGAACACCGGUGGCGAAGGCGGUUCUCUGGGCAUUACCUGACGCUGAGGAGCGAAAGUGUGGGGAGCGAACAGG